rnacentral:rRNA from 1 species
UACGGAGGAUGCGAGCGUUAUCCGGAUUUAUUGGGUUUAAAGGGUGCGCAGGCGGCGUGUCAAGUCAGCGGUAAAAUGUCGGGGCUCAACCCCGGCCGGCCGUUGAAACUGGCGUGCUCGAGUUGGAGAGAAGUAUGCGGAAUUCGUGGUGUAGCGGUGAAAUGCUUAGAGAUCAUACAGAACACCGAUUGCGAAGGCAGCUUACCAAGCUACUUCUGACGUUGAGGCACGAAAGCGUGGGGAGCAAACAGG